rnacentral:lncRNA from 10 species
CGCCUACUUUUUCUGCAGGAUUCCAGGUUUCUCUGGGGUUGAUCUCUGCCAGAUUCUUCCUCUUUGUCUUUUGUUUGGGGAAUUUAAUUGAUUUACAUAUAAAGUAAUUAUUGAUGGGUAAGGGCUUACUAUUGCUAUUUCAUUAAUUUUUUUCUGUCUAUUCUGUAGUUCUUUUCUUUCUUUCUUCUCCUCCCCUUUUGUCUUCUUUGGUGACUUGAUUUUUGUGAAACAUAUAUUUCUCCAUUUAUUCAGAAGUUUUAUUAGUUUGUUCUCACACUGCUAUAAAGAACUACCUGAGACUGGGUA